rnacentral:lncRNA from 13 species
AUGCAGACAGGGUCAGAUGAUGUAGUUCACAUGAUACUGGGUGUGGCCACAGGGUCAGAGGGUGUAACCAGAUGGUCAGAGGGGAGUGUGCUUCUGGGUCUAACAGUGAGUGUUAGCGGAGAGAGUUCUCUGGAGAUGGAUCCCGGUCUCCUGGAGGGCUCAGUCCUGACUGAGCAGCAGAAGCUACGCCAUGUGUUGGACUGGGCUAAGAAUUUCCUCGGGACCAGUCAGGAUGGGCACAAUCUCAGCAGAACCUCCCCUUCCUCCCUGCAUUUGCACUCUACUUCAGCAGCGCAUCGACUCGAGGUCGGUGGAAGAGCUGCUGUCUCCCCCCUUGGAACCUUUCACAAUCUUGUCAGAAGCAGAAAUGUGAGGGAAAACAUGGUAGGCCAAUCAGAGCCUCUGACCAGGCUUCCAUACACAACCCCACUGCCCUGCCACACUCUCUCCCACACCCCAGGUGGCCGUGAGUUUUCUGGGCCUGAGUUUAAAGAGAAUCCUGGGCAUAAGGAGCUGGUCCUGUUCUCCGGGCCACAAGAGGAUAACAAUGACCAACCACGUUUCCUUGGUGUAGACAACCCUCAGGCAGACCAGACUCCCCACAAACCAAUAGCUCCUCAUCCUGAGGGGAGAGAUGGUGUUUCCAUCAGUGAGAGACUAAGAGACAGAGACAGUUGCUCCUCAGUGGACAGUGACACUAUCCUAUGGUUGCCUGGAUAUGGUCCUUUAUCCAGAGCCCAUGACCUCAUAUCAAGGGAAGGGGGUUGUGGAGAGAGAGAGGACAGAGUUUUGGGAAUGCAGGAACAGAAAGAUGAGAAGGCGGUGGCGGAGGAGGAGGACCCAAAAACAGGCCUUGAGGGAACUAGUAGUAUCAUGCCUUAUGGAUCCUCUAGGGUCGCACUAGAGGGUGAACAUCUAGAUUGGGGAGCCAAUGGCUGGGUGUCAGAGGGCCUGAGUGUGUAUGAGGAGUAUCUGCUGUGUGUGUCCCGUUUGGACCACCUCAGAACAGAGCAGAACCAAGCACCUGCAGACGUCAUGACCCUACUUGCUGACGUCAUGACCCCACCUGCUGACCAAACGGCUGACCCCUCCGAGCAACCUCUGAGUGCUGAGCUGGUGGUUGCUAAGCAACAUGUCCAUCAGGACAUCCACAACGAGGGGAGGCGUGCACCAUUCAAGAGUUCAGAAGUGAAGAACAGUAGAGUGAUCCAGCCCAAGAGCAGCGGAGGUCAACCUGGUGUCAGGAGUCAGGCUCGUGUCAGAGGUCGCGGUCAUUCCUGGAGGUUCUGGGAAAGGUCAAGCCUCUCCUGGUCAUCCUUCACUCAUGGAGAAGUGCUGCCACGGUAACAUCUAUCAUAAGAAGAGCUGCCACGGUAACAUCUUUCAUGAGAAGAGCUGCCAUGGUAACAUCUAUCAUAAGAAGAGCUGCCACGGUAACAUCUUUCAUGAGAAGAGCUGCCAUGGUAACAUCUAUCAUGAGAAGAGCUGCCACGGUAACAUCUAUCAUGAGAAGAGCUGCCAUGGUAACAUCUAUCAUGAGAAAUGCUGCCACGGUAACGUCUAUCAUGAGAAGAGCUGCCACGGGAACAUCUUUCAUGAGAAGUGCUGCCAUGGUAACAUCUUUCAUGAGAAAAGCGUCUGCGAAAUGGCAUAACACUAUUUUUUGUAAAAAAUGUAAGUGAGUACCGGCACUUUUUUAAUUCCACAAAAAACACUGGAAGCUGCCCUGUGGCAAGUCACACUCAAAGGGAGUCACACUGCCCUCUGUAGUCUAUCAGCGGGACUGCACCUGCACUCAGAAAGACAGCAGCAUGCGUGGUGUAUUCAUUAGUGUAUAAAACCUGAAGAACAUACGCACAUCCAGGUACUUUCCACAGGUGCUGGGGUUGUAGGCUAACUCAUGGAAAACAGAAAGGAAAACGUCACACACUGCUGCUCAUGCUCCCAGGUGAUAUUUAUUUACAACAUUUCGAACCUUAGGUCUUCAUCAGGCAUCCAUAUCCCAGGUUGGGGUGGAAGGUCCUACAUAUAGGGGCAGUACUCAUUAGUGCACACCAUAGUAAAGCGUAGCAAAACAUUUUGCAACAGACAAAGUUUUGCAGUGAUAAUGGGCAUUGAGGCAGCAGGUAGCCUAGUGGUUAAUGUUGGACUAGUAACUGGAAGGUUGCUGGAUCGAAUCCCUGAGCUAACAAGGUAAAAAUCUGUCAUUCUGCCCCUGAACAGGCAGUUAACCCACUGUUCCUAGGCUGUCGUUGAAAAUAAGAAUUUGUUCUUAACUGACUUGCCUAGUUAGAUCAAAUAAAAAAAUUGUUAUUGGAGAAGUUCAGGUUAGUCUUUCCCUGUUUUCACCCGUUUGCUUCCAUUUAGUUCCUAGUUAAUAGCCUGACCUCUAGAGAUUGUAUUAUUUGUUUUUAUUUAACCUUUAUUUAACUAGGAAAGUCAGUUAAGAACAAAUUCUUAUUUACAAUGACGGCCUACCAAAAGGCAAAAGGCCUCCUGCAGGGACGGGGGCUGGGAUUAAAAAUAAAUAAAAAAUAUAUAUAGGACAAAUCACACAUCACGACAAGAGAGACAACACAACACUAGAUAAUACUGUAACCAGACAGAUUAGAUGAACUGUCACUGACAUCUCCCUCCUUUGGCUGCAGGUCCCAGCUCCCCAACAGACCCCACUCAGCAGGUGUAGUGUCUGAAAGUUCCUGUUCUGGACUCAGACCACCAACAACACUUCAGCUCCCUCUGGGUAAGCACAGCAGAAACAACUGCUACACUAGAUUACUAUAUGUCCACUGAUGCACAUUAUAAUGUAUGUGGAACAGUUUAUAGUAUAUCAAAUCUUAGUUUAUAGAUACCUUUUUAUCUGUAGUAUACUGUCUAACUAAACCCUUUAUCAAGUAUAAAGUGUAAUUACCACAGUAAUAGAUAAACAAGUUAAUGAAACGAGUAUUGUUAUAACUCCAAGUAGUCACCAGUUAUUACAGAACCCUGUUUCUUAGAACACAAAGCUAUACAAGAAUCCAGAAUGCAGGGCAUAAAAGGUUGAACAAGUUACAUAAUGCAUGUUAUGUUUUUUGGGGAAACUCAAGAUCAUGGUUUGAAAUUAAUUUCACUCCCUCACAACCUCGCAAUAGUCAUAAGACUCUUCACAGAUUUAGACAGAAUGAAAGCGAGAUUACACACCCAGACACACACACACACACACACAGACACACGCACAGACACACACACGCACGCACAGACACACACACACACACACACACACGCACGC